ACUACGGGAGGCAGCAGUGGGGGAUAUUGCACAAUGGGGGAAACCCUGAUGCAGCGACGCCGCGUGAGUGAAGAAGUAUUUCGGGAUGUAAAGCUCUAUCAGCAGGGAAGAAAAUGACAGUACCUGACCAAGAAGCCCCGGCUACCUACGUGCCAGCAGCCGCGGUAAUACGUAGGGGGCAAGCGUUAUCCGGAUUUACUGGGUGUAAAGGGAGCGUAGACGGUUAUGUAAGUCUGGAGUGAAAGCCCGGGGCCCACCCCCGGGACUGCUUUGGAAACUGUGUAACUGGAGUACAGGAGGGGCAGGCGGAAUUCCUGGUGUAGCGGUGAAAUGCGUAGAUAUCAGGAGGAACACCGGCGGCGAAGGCGGCCUGCUGGACUGAAACUGACGUUGAGGCUCGAAAGCGUGGGGAGCAAACAGGAUUAGAUACCCUUGUAGUC
rnacentral:rRNA from 1 species